UGUAGGAGUGAGCCUGCUCGCGAUAGCGUCAUGUCAGCCAAUAUUGAUGUCACUGACAUACCGCCAUCGCGAGCAGGCUCACUCCUACA
rnacentral:antisense_RNA from 1 species